rnacentral:lncRNA from 1 species
UGGGAUAUACCUGAAAGCAUUUAUUUGAAAUAUUCUUGAAAAAACAUUGGAAACGUUUUCAGUAAGAACUACAAAAUAUUUUUUUUUUUUUUUUUUUUUGGCUUUUCUUUGAAAUUAUCACUGGUAUACCAAUAUGUUUUUGAAUUUUAAUAAGAUUUUUUUUGACCCUAGGCUAACCUUUUAGAAUGCAGUGGAAAAUGAAACACAAAUCGGACCACUGUACCCUCGCUCCUUCCAUGCUUCUAGCAUUGGUGCCUUUAAAUGUUCUCUGUCACAGGUCAGGAAGUGACCUGGGAUGCACUUCUCUACUCUGGAAAUUAGUCUUUCAGAGAAACAGAGAUAAAGUGGUAUAAGAUCUCUGUCAGGAACAAUUCAUACGAAGUCUACUUCUGGCAAGUAACUUGGGCUGUUAUUUACAAAAAAUAUCCAAUCUUGGAAAUACUGCCCUGUGAGAAACUUUACAGACCUUGUACUGCACGCAGUGUUUUUGUCUCACUGAAGUCAUCUCAUGUAAGUUUGUAUAUUGGAUUUAUUUUUUUUUUAAUUUAUUUUAUAACACGUUUUGGCUAUGACAGUUUGAUGUUAAGUUACAUUAGAAUUCACAGACUCUUAUGAGACAUGGAAAAUUUUAGUCUGAGACAGUAACCUCCUCUUCCCCUCCAAAGUUUUUGAAGCUGAAUAUUGCUGCUUGUGCUGCACUCAUCUAUAAUAUGAAUGUCAGAUU